rnacentral:rRNA from 2 species
UAAUGGCUCACCAAGGCGACGAUCCCUAGCUGGUCUGAGAGGAUGAUCAGCCACACUGGAACUGAGACACGGUCCAGACUCCUACGGGAGGCAGCAGUGGGGAAUAUUGCACAAUGGGCGCAAGCCUGAUGCAGCCAUGCCGCGUGUGUGAAGAAGGCCUUCGGGUUGUAAAGCACUUUCAGUCGUGAGGAAGGUNGUGUAGUUAAUAGCUGCAUUAUUUGACGUUAGCGACAGAAGAAGCACCGGCUAACUCCGUGCCAGCAGCCGCGGUAAUACGGAGGGUGCGAGCGUUAAUCGGAAUUACUGGGCGUAAAGCGCAUGCAGGUGGUUUGUUAAGUCAGAUGUGAAAGCCCGGGGCUCAACCUCGGAAUAGCAUUUGAAACUGGCAGACUAGAGUACUGUAGAGGGGGGUAGAAUUUCAGGUGU